UUCGAAAUCGGUAGACGCUACGGACUUGAAAAUCCGUUGGCUUUAUUGACCGUGAGGGUUCAAGUCCCUCUACCCCCA
rnacentral:tRNA from 1 species